GACGAACGCUGGCGGCGUGCCUAACACAUGCAAGUCGAACGGAACUGUUUUGACAGUUUUCUUCGGAAUGAAUGUGAUUUGGUUUAGUGGCGGACGGGUGAGUAACGCGUGAGUAACCUGCCUUCAAGAGGGGAAUAACAUUCUGAAAAUAAUGCUAAUACCGCAUGACAUAGCGGAACCACAUGGUUUGAUAUCAAAGAUUUUAUCGCUUUAAGAUGGACUCGCGUCCGAUUAGUUAGUUGGUGAGGUGACGACUAACCAAGACCGGGAUCGGUAGCCGGACUGAGAGGUCGAACAGACAGAUUGGGAGUGAGACACGGCCCAGACACCUGAGGGAGGAAGCAGUGGGGGAUAUUGAGCAAUGGGGGCAAGACUGAGGAAGCCACGCCGCGUGAAGGAUGAAGGUUUUUGGAAUGCAAACUUCUUUUAUUAAGGACGAAAAAUGACGGUAAUUAAUGAAUAAGCUCCGGCUAACUACGUG
rnacentral:rRNA from 1 species